CAGUCGAACGGAGUUAUCAUUUUUGAAGCGAUUAGCUUGCUAAGAGUGGAACAGUUGAUAACUUAGUGGCGGACGGGUGAGUAACGCGUGGGUAACCUGCCUUACACAGGGGGAUAACACUUAGAAAUAGGUGCUAAUACCGCAUAAGCGCACAGUCCCGCAUGGGACAGAGUGAAAAACAUUAGUGGUGUAAGAUGGACCCGCGUCUGAUUAGCUGGUUGGCGGGGUAACGGCCCACCAAGGCGACGAUCAGUAGCCGGCCUGAGAGGGUGGACGGCCACAUUGGGACUGAGACACGGCCCAAACUCCUACGGGAGGCAGCAGUGGGGGAUAUUGGACAAUGGGGGAAACCCUGAUCCAGCGACGCCGCGUGAGUGAAGAAGUAUUUCGGUAUGUAAAGCUCUAUCAGCAGGGAAGAAAGAAAUGACGGUACCUGAGUAAGAAGCCCCGGCUAACUACGUGCCAGCAGCCGCGGUAAUACGUAGGGGGCAAGCGUUAUCCGGAAUUACUGGGUGUAAAGGGAGCGUAGACGGUAAUGCAAGUCUGGAGUGAAAGGCGGGGGCCCAACCCCCGGACUGCUCUGGAAACUGUGUAACUGGAGUGCAGGAGAGGCAGGCGGAAUUCCUAGUGUAGCGGUGAAAUGCGUAGAUAUUAGGAGGAACACCAGUGGCGAAGGCGGCCUGCUGGACUGUAACUGACGUUGAGGCUCGAAAGCGUGGGGAGCAAACAGGAUUAGAUACCCUGGUAGUCCACGCCGUAAACGAUGAUUACUAGGUGUGGGUGG
rnacentral:rRNA from 1 species